UGCGGUUGUGUUGGUGGACAUUUCCUCCCUGUCAGACUGGCCGUGCCCUUGGCACGGCCUUUUUUCGUGACUAU
rnacentral:misc_RNA from 1 species